UGAGGAAUAUUGCACAAUGGGCGCAAGCCUGAUGCAGCAACGCCGCGUGAGGGACGAAGGCCUUCGGGUUGUAAACCUCUUUUCUGAGGGACGAGGAAGGACGGUACCUCAGGAAUAAGUCUCGGCUAACUACGUGCCAGCAGCCGCGGUAAAACGUAGGAGGCGAGCGUUAUCCGGAUUUACUGGGCGUAAAGCGCGCGCAGGUGGCUUCGUGAGUCGGACAUGAAAGCUCCUGGCUUAACUGGGAGAGGCUGUUCGAUACUGCGGGGCUUGAGGUUGGGAGAGGGACGCGGAAUUCCCGGUGUAGUGGUGGAAUGCGUAGAUAUCGGGAGGAACACCAGUGGCGCAAGCGGCGUCCUGGCCCACACCUGACGCUGAGGUGCGAAAGCGUGGGUAGCAAACAG
rnacentral:rRNA from 1 species